UUAUGACUUUGGUACAAUGGACCCAACAACAAACCUUGUUGAGUUUUCAUCUCAGAAUUUGGAAGCAUGUACCAACAAUUUCAGUCAGAACAAUCUCAUUGGCUUGACACAGUUUGGUAGAUUGUAUAGAGGCAACCUUGAAGGUCAACAUGUAGUAGUGAAGAUAUGGGAUGGUGAAAGAAUGAAACAGAUAAGUUCCAAAUAUAAUGAUGAGAAUUUGAUUAUCAAAGCAAGUGCUCUCACUAUCUCUUUCACUCAUAAAUGACCUUUUUUCUUAUCCUGCUUCCAACUUUAAUUUUGUCUCACUAAUUGUGAAAAGUCAAUGGUUCUGUUUUGCAGGAGGAAGUAAAAUUUUGAACUAAUCCAACAUUGAAAGGUUACCCUAAUCUGGUGAAGUUGAUUGGUUAUACUUGGGAGAGAGAUGUAAAGGGACUUGUGUAACCUGAAUUGGCUUCGGAGAAUAAAUGUAAUUCAUGAACUUGCAAAGCUCUUGAAAUUCAUUCAUGACCUGGAGAAGCAAAAUAUGGUGUUGAAUAUCAGUGCAUCUCAUAUACUACUCGACAAGUUUAGCACAUUAUUGUGGCAAUAAUCCACUUCCCAGCUCCUAAAAAUUUUAUAUAUCGAUGUUUCCUUUCUCAUUUGCACUUUCUCUGUUUUGGCACUCAACAUGAACACUCAUUUCUGGUGUAGGAUUACAAGCCAAAUUUUAUUGAUUUGAUGUUGCUCAGCGAAGUGACAAUGCUAAAGGAACAAAUAACAAUGUCAACUAGCUACAUCGAUCCUUAUUUUUCUCUAAGGGAUAAUUUUUUUUUUUACCUGCA